AAUGUGCCGUGGGAGUCCCUGAAGCUGCCAGUGUGGCCUUAGCUCUGGCAUCACAGGAGCACAACCCUGGUCUGUCAAUUGUGAGUGCAUAUAUAUAUGCCUUUAGGGUUUUGCCCGGUUUUGCUUGACAUGUUUGUAUCUCUGGAGUCUCUUGAAUAAAUUACGGUAAUUCUGAAUCAUUCAAAAUCCAAAUCGAAGCAGGGUAUAAAACUGGAGUUCUGGGAACACGCUGUCAUUGCAAAGCCAGGUUGUUUAAAGGUGCAGUCAUGUUGCCAAAUCCAUGCCUUGUUUGUGGGGUUUUCUCUUCAAGAAAUAACCAGAUACAAUGAUUUUGAGUUAAGCCUCUACCUGGUUUCAGGUUUGUUCCCAGACUGGCAUGGUUUUUCCAUGGUUUAAAUGUCAUCAGACUCUGUGACAAUUGUUUUUAAACCAUGGAGUUUAAAACAGUGGAGGAAGAUUCUGCCAAUCUUACUCAUGUUUACAUGCUAUUUUAGGGAUUGAUUUUUCAGAAAGCCUGAUGUGCUUUUCAGUGCUUUGUACACUGGCAUCAAGAAGAUAUUUUUCCCCCUGUUUGUCAUGAUGCCACUUCUGCCCCAGUCAAUUGUGGAAAGUAAAACAGUGCUGAGAGCUUUUAUGAACCUAAAGGCAUUUAAAACCAUCCCUGUUGUAGAUUAAAAGUACUUUUCCAGGCCAAAGGUUCUUGACAGCAAAAAUAUUGAUCCCGUUUCCUAAGGGUCUAUGGCACUAUUAUCUUCCUGCUUACUAGCAUAUACAUUUAUUUGUUCUUCCAACCCACCACCUUUUUUUCCGAGAUGACAGCUAUUUGGAAAAGCUUGUGAAUAUUCCUAUUUUAUCUAGACCAGCUUAUCUUAAUUAUUUCUUUCAGCUUGCCUGAUCUCAUUAGAUUCUAAAUGCGUUUUCUUCACACUCGGGUCUUCUAGGCACCUUGUUGCCAUAUCUUUACUGUUGCAAAAUCUUUAUGCUGGCUUACUGCCCAACUUUAUCAUCUGAAAUAUAAAACAAAAGACUUUUUGGGCUGUCGGUGAUCCUUCUUUCAGCUGGCAACCUCAUCUAGCCUUCAUUCAUCUUAUAUUCAUAACCGUCCUUUAAAAUCUAAAUCUACUGCUUUAUUUAGUCUGACCUAGUUAUAGCAUGGCGAUAAUGGAAGCUGGAGUCUUGGUUACAGAAUAAGCUUUCAUUAGCUGCGUAAACGUCUUGGUCUUUGUUGGUUCCCAGAAUUGAACUACAGAAACAUGUUACUUGUCUAAAGUGUCCUUUGUUAAGGGUGUCAGUUAAAAAACCCACAAUAGAAAUGCAUGUAGUUUAUGUCAUAUAGCAUUAGGAAGUGCUGGAAGAGAGGUGUCAUACCAUUUCCUUACACGAAGGAUAUAUUAUGAUAUAUGUCUAAUUUACAUCUUCAUGCACAAUGGCUUUUCCUUUCCUCAUUCAUUAGGGGGAUGCACAAUGCCUCUUUAUCAUUUGUACGUCUUUUACUAGUGUUCCUCUUUCCAAAUGUGGUGACCUAUAUGCAUUAUAGCGUAUUUUGAAUUGAUAUAUUAAGGCUGUAUCCUACAGCCUUUUCUGUGAUGCUUUCCCAUCUAACAACUGACAUAUCUACAACUGUUAAUGAAUCCUUCUUUAUGACAAGCCUGAAGGUGGUACUGUUAUCCACACUGGAACCAGGACAUGGGGAGCUAAAUCUGAAGGCAAGCACUUCAGAUGUGAUUUACAAACGCUACUUCCCACACUGGCAGUGAUAUGAGACAAUCUGAAAGAAUGCAGGUGACCGGUCCCUGGAUUGUUGGUGUAUGAUAACAUCACUAUGUUGCUGCCACACACCCAAGCUGUACAGGGUACCAUGUGAACAGCAGAGUUUGUGAUUGACAUGGGAGGCUCCAAAGGGCUAUCAGCAUCAGCACAGGUUCUUGUCUGCAGGAAUAUGGAAGGGUUGGAUAGAUGGGGGUUGUGUUUGCUUUGGGAAAUACUGUUUCUUCUUCUGUCUCUGAGAGGGAAUACAUUUGGUGAUGUGUUAUUGUUAAACUAUAUAUGUGCUCUCUGGAGAGUCUUGUACACAACGUACUGUAAUGUAUCGUAUCUGUCUGUAAGGGGAAUAAACAGGUACAUGCUGGUACACAGCCAGAAUCUGUAACAACAGCCGAGCUCUGCAUUGACAAGGAAAGUGCAAGUGACAUUUUGCAGAGGACUUUGCAGCAGCUUCUCACACAAUAUUAUACAGACUGAGAAAACACAGCCCCUGAGGAAACAGAUGAAGGUGCAUUCCUCAUGGAAUGCUAUGUGAUGAGACUU